UCUGGCUACCUGACCUGUCCAUUGUGGAAGGUCUUACAUUCUCGCUGAUUUCAGGAGCUAUUGAUUAUGCGUA
rfam:Trichuris trichiura, WGS project CBXK01000000 data, contig: TTRE_149